rnacentral:snRNA from 1 species
AUCCUUAUGCAUGGGAAAUACGCAUAUCAGUGAGGAUUCGUCCGAGAUUGUGUUUUUGCUGGUUGAAAUUUACAUUUAACCUGACCCUCUCCUCAUAAUCCGCUUGGGGUAUUCGCUUUAGAAUUUCCUUGGUUUAUGUAGGGAAUUUUUGGAAUAUUUCAUUCUUGAAGU